rnacentral:rRNA from 1 species
CCAAUAGCGUAUAUUAAAGUUGUUGCAGUUAAAAAGCUCGUAGUUGGAUCUAGGGACGCGCAUUUCAAGCGCCCGUGCCGUCGGGUCAAACCGGCGGCUGCGUUGGCGUUGCGGGCUCGGUCCGUCGGUGCCCCACAAAGGGCUAUCGGCGUGUCAACCGGCCCGCCCGUCCCCUCCUUCUGGAUUCCCGUUCCUGCUAUUGAGUUAGUGGGGACGUCACAGGGGGCUCAUCGUCGUCGUGCAAACGGCGGCGGUGGGUCCCUGGGGCCCAGAUCGUUUACCGUGAAAAAAUUAGAGUGUUCAAAGCAGGCAGAUCCAAUUUUCUGCCACCGAAUACAUUAGCAUGGGAUAAUGGAAUAGGACCCUGUCCUCCUAUUUUCAGUUGGUUUUGGCAGCGCGAGGACUAGGGUAAUGAUUAAUAGGGAUAGUUGGGGGCAUUAAUAUUUAAUUGUCAGAGGUGAAAUUCUUGGAUUUAUGAAAGAUUAACUUCUGCGAAAGCAUCUGCCAAGGAUGUUUUCAUUAAUCAAGAACGAAAGUUAGGGGAUCGAAGACGAUCAGAUACCGUCGUAGUCUUAACCAUAAACGAUGCCGACCAGCGAUUAGGAGACGUUGAAUACAAAACACCACCAUCGGUGCGGUCGUCCUUGGCGUCGGUCUUUCGGGGCCGGCGCGGGGACGGCUUAGCCCGGUGGCACCGGUGAAUGACUCCCCUAGCAGCUUGUGAGAAAUCAUAAGUCUUUGGGUUCCGGGGGGAGUAUGGUCGCAAGGCUGAAACUUAAAGGAAUUGACGGAAGGGCACCACCAGGAGUGGAGCCUGCGGCUUAAUUUGA